GACGAACGCUGGCGGCGUGCUUAACACAUGCAAGUCGAACGGAAAGGCCCUGCUUUUGUGGGGUGCUCGAGUGGCGAACGGGUGAGUAACACGUGAGUAACCUGCCCUUGACUUUGGGAUAACUUCAGGAAACUGGGGCUAAUACCGGAUAGGAGCUCCUGCUGCAUGGUGGGGGUUGGAAAGUUUCGGCGGUUGGGGAUGGACUCGAGGCUUAUCAGCUUGUUGGUGGGGUAGUGGCUUACCAAGGCUUUGACGGGUAGGCGGCCUGAGAGGGUGACCGGCGACAUUGGGACUGAGAUACGGCCCAGACGCCUACGGGGGGCAGCAGUGGGGAAUAUUGCACAAUGGGCGGAAGACUGAUGCAGCAACGCCGCGUGCGGGAUGACGGCCUUCGGGUUGUAAACCGCUUUCGCCUGUGACGAAGCGUGAGUGACGGUAAUGGGUAAAGAAGCACCGGCUAACUACGUG
rnacentral:rRNA from 1 species